UAACCUACCUCAUAGUGGGGGAUAACAGUCGGAAACGACUGCUAAUACCGCAUAGGACAUGGGAUCACAUGAUUCCGUGAGGAAAGGUGGCGCAAGCUAUCGCUAAGAGAUGGACCCGCGGUGCAUCAGCUAGUUGGUAGGGUAACGGCCUACCAAGGCAAUGAUGCAUAGCCGACCUGAGAGGGUGAUCGGCCACAUUGGGACUGAGACACGGCCCAA
rnacentral:rRNA from 1 species